rnacentral:lncRNA from 1 species
CAUUAUGGCUCUCUCCUUGCCUGGAACUGGAUAUGAGAAAUGCUUGAAUUAAGAUCUGUGAAUUAUCUUAUUUUCUUGUCAGAAGGAUGCAGAUUGCCCAUACUUCAUAGCAGAGCAACAGGAGGGACUUAGGGACAAAAAGAGGAAAACGAAGGCAUUACAAAACAAGCAUAUUAAGUAUACGAUUCACAUCCCAACAGCUCAAAGGCAAGGAAGACUGAGGAAGCUAAGUUACUGGCCAUAUGUUUAAUAAAUAUAAGCUUAAUGGCAGUGAAUGUAUUAAUGUCAGCGAAGACAAGUCUAUGAAGUUAAACAGGCACAGAGAGGCUAAGAGUCUUGCCAAAGGCCACAGAGGAAGGAAGAGACUAAAUCUGGAACAAACUUUCUAUUCUCCAUUUCCAGAAGAAACCACUAAACCAUGCUUCCUCUUGUCAUGGAAGCUUAAAAUAUUUGAUCAAACUACGUUUAAAUAAGAAUUAAAAUGCCAUUUGUCCAUCACCUAAUGGCUCAAUUUGCUCCUGCCUUGGGUGUGCACACCCUGCUCUGGAACAGACCAGAGCUCUAAAGAAGUGACUGGAAGUUGUGAAUGUCAUUGUUAUGAAGCUUCAAAUUUGCUCUCCUCUUUAGGACACAGACAUGGCAUUAGAGAAGGGCAGAAAACUGCACUUGGCUGUGCAUAGAGAACACUAGAGACCUCUUGUGCAAGAGAGGGGACUAGGUUGCGUAGUGUAAUGAGAGAAGCAUGGGUUUUGAGACCGCUACAAUGUCUGUGUCUUCUUGGCCAACAUUUCAGUAAGAGUAGUAAGCAUAUCUCCACAAUAGGGUUAAGAGAACCAGUGUCUUCUGAAAAACACAUGAAAUCAUCGUAACCCUGCUAAGUCUGUGCUUUGCAAAAAUUAAAAC